CUUCAUAAAAGAAUUUUACCUUUUCUUAUUUCUUAUUUCUCAUUUUCAGUACAAGAUAGGAUAAUAUUAUCCCUUAAUGGAGUAAAAAAUAGAAAUGAGAAAAGGUGAAAUGUUCUUUUGUGGAAAAUGAAAAGAAAAAAAAUGAAAAAAUUUAAAUAAUUUUUUUUAUUUCCUUAUUUUCUCAUGAUAAAUUUAUAAUUAAAAUAGCACAUCCUAACUUGAAAUUAAAAAAAAAAUAACUUGAAAUUAAAAAAAAAAAUGCCGUGAUAGAAUUUUUCUAACUUUUCUUGUCCCUCAUUCUCACGUAGUAAACACACCCUUAAAAUAAGUAAUCUUGUGAUUUGUGAAUUUCAACAUGAGAUCGAAAGGCAAAGCCAUAAAAGUUGAAAAGGUGGAGAAAAUUCAUACUCGAACAAGAAACCAAGGCAAACACAACGCGAAUAUUUUCACAAACUAUUGAAGAAUAUCAAGAUUCAAAAUAACAAAACCAAAAAAGUAAAAGAAAGAGAAAAAGGAAACUUUACCAAAAACAUAGCAGGCUCGCAAUGAUGUCAACACAAAGCAUUCUAAAUGCAAAAGGGGGCCUCUCAGUUUCAUCAAUGUCAAUAAUAAUACUUCCUCUCUCAUCAUUCCCAUCUCUCUCAUGAAAAAAAAAUUACAAAAAGAAAGCAAGAAAGGGACAGCACGAAAACCCUUGCACACUUGGUUUCUUUUAAUAUCUGUGAUUCCAUCGCCAAAACCCACAAAUAAUAAUCAUUUCAUAUCAUGAUCAUGCUUCGCCCCCACCCCCCUCCCCUUCAAAACCGCCAUGAUUGUGCCCACAUUCAAUCUGCAGAGAAAUCAAACCCAUCAUCAUUAACUCCGAAGAAAUUAAAAGCAGUCAUACAAAUGGGCUGCUGUCACCCAUUUUCAACGCUGAUGAAGAAGAAAUCAAGACUAUCGCACUCGUCUUUUCGUUUUCGUCGUGAAAAGGAUUUCACUCUUUGAAGCUUUAUUCGCAUCAAUCUUUCUUCUCUUCAUGGGGGAAUUGAGCAUCACGGUCCGAUCAUAUAUAUUAUUGUAACUCUUUUCUUAAUUUCUUGUUUUUUUUUUGAGGAAAAUUAGGGAUAUUUAUUAGUGCUAGCUACUAUGUAUAUAGAUGUGUGUGGUUUGCGUUUUGUUGUUUGGCGGCGGCUGAGACAAAGGAAUAGAUUUUGAGACGAAGGCGAGAGUUGGAGUCUUUGUGGAGAUGGCGCCGUUUGGAAAUAAUUUGGAAUGAGGGUUUCUAUCAGUAAGUUUUACAGAUCUAUAUAUAGUUGUAUGAUUUUCAGCUUUUUUAUUAAGAUCUGAAUGAUUCUCUUCUUUCUUUCUAUAUAUAUAUAUAUAGAUGUAUAUGAAACUAGGGUUUUGAGUUUCUGAUCUCGAGUUGUGAGUAUAUAUGUUUUGAUAAGAAAACUAAUUCUUGUUUUCUUAAUUACUACCUAGAUAGCUUGUUUAAAUUUUGAACAUCUUGAUAUGUAUACAUUAAUGGAACUGCUAAUCAAGAACUCGUUGUCGGUUUGUGGUACCACCUAAUUUAUAGUGGGAGAUGUUCUUCUAUUGAAGAAUAUAUGACGUGGUUUUGAGUACAAUUGGUUGUACUGUGUAGUCGGAUUGCACUCUCAUUUAGACUCUGACCCGCACUCUGAUUUGAACCCAUAUUUUAACUCGAACCUUAUAAAUAACACUAUUUUAGAUGCGG
rnacentral:lncRNA from 1 species